rnacentral:rRNA from 1 species
UACGUAGGUGGCGAGCGUUGUCCGGAUUUACUGGGCGUAAAGAGCGCGCAGGCGGUCGUACAAGUCGCGUGUGAAAGCCCCUGGCUCAACUGGGGAGGGUCACGCGAUACUGUUCGACUCGAAGGCAGGAGAGGGAAGUGGAAUUCCCGGUGUAGUGGUGAAAUGCGUAGAUAUCGGGAGGAACACCAGUGGCGAAGGCGGGUCUCUGGGCCGAUACUGACGCUGAGGAGCGAAAGCGUGGGGAGCGAAUGGG